UACGUAGGGUGCAAGCGUUGUCCGGAAUUAUUGGGCGUAAAGAGCUCGUAGGCGGUCUGUCGCGUCUGCUGUGAAAACUCAGGGCUUAACCCUGAGCUUGCAGUGGGUACGGGCAGACUAGAGUGCGGUAGGGGAGACUGGAAUUCCUGGUGUAGCGGUGAAAUGCGCAGAUAUCAGGAGGAACACCGGUGGCGAAGGCGGGUCUCUGGGCCGUAACUGACGCUGGAGGAGCGAAAACAUGGGGACGCGAACAGG
rnacentral:rRNA from 1 species